UACGUAGGGUCCGAGCGUUGUCCGGAAUUACUGGGCGUAAAGAGCUCGUAGGUGGUUUGUCGCGUUGUUCGUGAAAACUCACAGCUCAACUGUGGGCGUGCGGGCGAUACGGGCAGACUAGAGUGCGGUAGGGGAGAUCGGAAUUCCUGGUGUAGCGGUGAAAUGCGCAGAUAUCAGGAGGAACACCGGUGGCGAAGGCGGAUCUCUGGGCCGUAACUGACGCUGAGGAGCGAAAGCAUGGGGAGCGAACAGG
rnacentral:rRNA from 1 species